rnacentral:tRNA from 1 species
UGCGGGGUGGAGCAGUCUGGUAGCUCGUCGGGCUCAUAACCCGAAGGUCAGGGGUUCGAAUCCUCUCCCCGCUA